rnacentral:rRNA from 1 species
UACGUAGGGGCCAAGCGUUGUCCGGAUUUAUUGGGCGUAAAGAGCUCGUAGGCGGUUCGGCAAGUCGAAUGUGAAAUCUCCACGCUCAACGUGGAGGGGUCAUUCGAUACUGCCGUGACUUGAGUACGGUAGGGGAGUGUGGAAUUCCCGGUGUAGCGGUGAAAUGCGCAGAGAUGCGGAGGAACACCAGUGGCGAAAGCGACUUUCUGGUCCUUAACUGACGCUGAGGCGCGAAAGCAUGGGGAGCGAACGGG